UCCAGGGUGUACAAGAAGCAUGGUGCCAGCAUCUGCUCAGCUUCUGAUGAGGGCUCUGGGAAGCUUUUACUCAUGGAGGAAGGCAAGGGGAACCAGCAUGUCACAUGAUGAGAAAGGAAGCAUGAGAGAGAGGUGCCAGACUCUUCAACAACCAGAAGAGAAAGUCAGAGAGAAUCAAAGCAUGUGAAGAGAGACCUCACGCAAGGAGGUCUAGGAGCCUAGAGUGAUCUUCAGCCAACAGUCAAAAAGAUAACUGGGACAACCACAAGGAACUGACUUCUAUAAGAGAAAUGAGCCUGGAAAAGGACUCCAAGCUUCAGAUGAAAAUGUAGUUGGCUGACACUUUGAUUUUAGUCUUGUGAAACCCUAAGCAGAGAAUCCAAGUAAGUCCCCCUGAACUUCUCACCUAAAGAACAAUG
rnacentral:lncRNA from 10 species